rnacentral:rRNA from 1 species
UACGGGGGGGCAAGGCGUUGUUCGGAAUUACUGGGCGUAAAGGGCUCGUAGGCGGCCAACUAAGUCGGAUGUGAAAUCCCCAGGCUUAACCUGGGAACUGCAUCCGAAACUGCCUUGCUCGAGUAUGGGAGAGGGAAGUGGAAUUUCCGGUGGUAGCGGUGAAAUGCGUAGAUAUCGGAAGGAACAUCAGUGGCGAAGGCGACUUCCUGGACCAAUACUGACGCUCAGGUGCGAAAGCGUGGGGAGCAAACAGG